rnacentral:rRNA from 1 species
AUGGCUUUUUGGAAUUUAUGUAAAAGUCGGGGCCUGCCCACUGAGGUAAUCUUAAAGGGCCGCAGUAUAUUGACUGUGCAAAGGUAGCAUAAUCAUUAGUUUUUUAAUUGAGAACUGGAAUGAAUGGUUUGAUGAAAUAAUAACUGUCUACAAAUUAAUAUAUUGAAUUUUAUUUUUAAGUUAAAAAGCUUAAAUAUUAUUUGGGGACGAGAAGACCCUAUAGAUCUUAAUAAAAAUUAAUUUAAUUUAUUUUUAGUGGAUAAUUAAUAAUUAAAUUAAUUUUUAUUGUGUUGGGGUGACAUGGGAAAAUAAGAAACUUCUCAUAAUUUAAACUUAAAUGAAAGAUUAAAGGAUCCUUUAUUAAGGAAAUAAGAUUAAGAUACCUUAGGGAUAACAGCGUAAUUUUAUUGGAAAGUUCAUAUUAAUAAUAAAGUUUGCGACCUCGAUGUUGGAUUAAGAUUAUAAAUUGGUGUAGAAGUUAAUUGUAUAAGUCUGUUCGACUUUUGAAUUCCUUACNUUGAANCUUAA